UAGAGAGAUAGAUAUUGAUGCGAUUCAAUCUGAACAUACAUUUAUGGUUAAUCAGCCAUAUAUAUGGUUUUGAUUGAGCCGCGUCAAUAUCUCUCUUUCAACC
rfam:Ipomoea nil DNA, scaffold: scaffold1421, cultivar: Tokyo-kokei standard.